rnacentral:rRNA from 1 species
CCUACGGGUGGCAGCAGUGGGGGAUAUUGCACAAUGGGGGAAACCCUGAUGCAGCGACGCCGCGUGUGGGAAGACGGUCCUCUGGAUUGUAAACCACUGUCCCCAGGGACGAAGAUGACGGUACCUGGGGAGGAAGCUCCGGCUAACUACGUGCCAGCAGCCGCGGUAAUACGUAGGGAGCGAGCGUUGUCCGGAAUUACUGGGUGAAAAGUGAGCGUAGGCGGGACUGCAAGUUGGGUGUCAAAUCUACCGGCUCAACCGGUAGCCGCACUCAAGACUGCAGUUCUUGAGGGAAGUAGAGGCAGGCGGAAUUCCUAGUGUAGCGGUGAAAUGCGUAGAUAUUAGGAGGAACACCAGUGGCGAAGGCGGCCUGCUGGGCUUUUACUGACGCUGAGGCUCGAAAGUGUGGGGAGCAAACAGGAUUAGAUACCCGAGUAGUC